AGACCCGUAGCUCAGCUGGUUAGAGCGCUGUCUUGACAUGGCAGAGGUCGUUGGUUCAAGUCCAAUCGGGUCUACCA
rnacentral:tRNA from 5 species